UAGAUGUCGUGCAUUUCCCUGGAGAAUAACCUUAUUUGUACAUGUAGUAAGUAUGAUGCAAUUAUAGGGUUAAAUUUGGUCACCAGGAAGGAUUUGUUUAGAUUUGGGUGGCAUUACAAUGGAUAACUUGUUGAGAUUUGCAUUGCUCAUCUCUCUUCUCCUCAAUGCAUUGAGCAUCAGUAAAUACUUCUGCUUAAGCUAUCUGGAUGUCCCAAACCUUGCAGCAGCUCACAAGAUUUCCAUCAAACUUUGGUGUCAUAAACAGGAUCCCAACAGCACAGACUGAUGACCUCUCCCAGCUGUGUUGGGCUUAUGGGAAGGACAGCUCAGGAGCUGAAAUUGAUUAGUGGGACACUGGAGGACCUGAAGGAAACUUACUGUGUAAGAGAACAUGCUGGCUCCAACAACCCACAGCCAAGUCUUAAACUCAGAAUCUGAUACACACACCAAACAUGUUUAAGAAAUAAUAUGGUGAUAUCCACAGUAAGUUUAA